AGGUGGAAGAGCGACGGAUCCUGGGCUGUGUCCCCCGGCUCCCUGGGAUCUGGGGCCUGUGCUGCUGGAAUCAAGCUCCCGGACCUGCAGCCCCCU
rnacentral:pre_miRNA from 1 species